rnacentral:rRNA from 1 species
GACGAACGCUGGCGGCGUGCCUAAUACAUGCAAGUAGAACGCUGAAGCGAGGAGCUUACUCUUCUUGGAUGAGUUGCGCACGGGUGAGUAACGCGUAGGUAACCUGCCUUGUAGCGGGGGAUAACUAUUGGAAACGAUAGCUAAUACCGCAUAACAAUGGAUGACACAUGUCAUUUAUUUGAAAGGGGCAAUUGCUCCACUACAAGAUGGACCUGCGUUGUAUUAGCUAGUAGGUGAGGUAAUGGCUCACCUAGGCGACGAUACAUAGCCGACCUGAGAGGGUGAGCGGCCACACUGGGACUGAGACACGGCCCAGACUCCUACGGGAGGCAGCAGUAGGGAAUCUUCGGCAAUGGGGGCAACCCUGACCGAGCAACGCCGCGUGAGUGAAGAAGGGUUUCGGAUCGUAAAGCUCUGUUGUAAGUCAAGAACGGGUGUGAGAGUGGAAAGUUCACACUGUGACGGUAGCUUACCAGAAAGGGACGGCUAACUACGUG